AAAUUGAAGAGUUUGAUCAUGGCUCAGAUUGAACGCUGGCGGCAGGCUUAACACAUGCAAGUCGAACGGUAACAGGAAGCAGCUUGCUGCUUUGCUGACGAGUGGCGGACGGGUGAGUAAUGUCUGGGAAACUGCCUGAUGGAGGGGGAUAACUACUGGAAACGGUGGCUAAUACCGCAUAACGUCGCAAGACCAAAGAGGGGGACCU
rnacentral:rRNA from 1 species